rnacentral:misc_RNA from 1 species
UCCGGUUUGUCACCGGCAGUCUGGCGUGAGUCCCCACCAUAACGUGCUGGCAACAUGAGACAAGGGUUGCGCUCGUUGCGGGACUUAACCCAACAUCUCACGACACGAGCUGACGACAGUCAUGCACCACCUGCACACAGGCCACAAGGGAAUACCUAUCUCUAGGCACGUCCUGUGCAUGUCAAACCCAGGUAAGGUUCUUCGCGUUGCAUCGAAUUAAUCCACAUGCUCCGCUGCUUGUGCGGGCCCCCGUCAAUUCCUUUGAGUUUUAGCCUUGCGGCCGUACUCCCCAGGCGGGGCACUUAAUGCGUUAGCUUCGGCACGGAGGGAGUCGACACCCCCCACACCUAGUGCCCAUCGUUUACGGCGUGGACUAC